rnacentral:lncRNA from 1 species
AUAAAGAUGGAAUGACUUCUAAUUUUUAGGUCCGUAUGAUUUGAAAUACUUGCACACAAACCACGCAAAACCGUUCCUAGAAAUCUCGGUCGAAAAAAGGACGUUUAGUAAUUCUAAAAGGGACUACAGGAUGAAAAACAAUAGUUUUGGCAGUUAAAGUUUGAGAUUCGAUGGUGCCGUAGAUCCGUUUGGUCAUCAGGUGUUACGAGCCACACCCAUGUCUAGCUAGAGUAGUGUGCUAGGUUCAGACUAGAGAAGAAACGGGGAACAAAGUGAUUAAAGAAUGAUCAUACCGAGGGAAUUCACUCAGAACUAACAAGAAUGAUAACGUGCUCCGACUGGAGCGGUUUAGGAACUGCUGGAAGGCUCUAGGGGAAUAAAGAUGGAAUGACUUCUAAUUUUUACGUCCGUAUGAUUUGAAAUACAUGCACACAAACCACGCAAAAGCGUUCCUGGAAAUCUCAGCCUAAAAAAGGACGUUUAGUAAUUCUAAAAGGGACUACAGGAUGAAAAAUAAUAGUUUGGGCAGUUAAAAUUUGAGAUUCGACGCUGCCGUAGAUCCGUUUGGUCAUCAGGUCUUACGAGCCACACCCAUGUCUAGCUAGAAUAGUGUGUUAGGCUCAGGCUAGAGAAGAAACGGGGAACAAACUGAUGAAAGAAUGAUCAUACCGAGGGAAUUCACUCAGAACUAACAAGAAUGAUAACGUGCUCCGACUGGAGCAGUUUAGAAACUCCUGGAAGGCUCUAGGGGAAUAAAGAUGGAAUGACUUCAAAGUUUUAGGUCCGUAUGAUUUGAAAUACUUGCACACAAACCGCGUGAAAGCGUUCCUGGAAAUCUCAACCCAAAAAAGGGCGUUUAGUAAUUCUAAAAGGGACUACAGGAUGUAAAACAAUAGUUUUGGCAGUUAAAGUUUGAGAUUCGAUGGUGCCGUAGAUCCGUUUGGUCAUCAGGUGUAACGAGCCACACCCAUGUCUAGCUAGAGUAGUGUGCUAGGCUCAGACUAGAGAAGAAACGGGGAACAAAGUGAUGAAAGAAUGAUCAUACCGAGGGAAUUCACUCAUAACUAACAAGAAUGAUAACGUGCUCUGACUUGAGCGGUUUAGGAACUGCUGGAAGGCUAUAGGGGAAUAAAGAUGGAAUGACUUCAAAUUUUUAGGUCCGUAUGAUCUGAAAUACUUGCACACAAACCGCGAGAAAGCGUUCCUGGAAAUCUCAACCCAAAAAAGGACGUUUAGUAAUUCUAAAAGGGACUACAGGAUGAAAAACAAUAGUUCUGGCAGUUAUUGUUUGAGAUUCGAUAAUCUCGUAGAUCCGUUUGGUCAUCAGGUGUAACGAGCCACACCCAUGUCUAGCUAGAGUAGUGUGCUAGGCUCAGACUAGAGAAGAAACGGGGAACAAACUGAUGAAAGAAUGAUCAUACCGAGGGAAUUCACUUAGAACUAACAAGAAUGAUAACGUGCUCCGACUGGAGCGGUUUAGGAACUGCUGGAAGGCUCUAGGGGAAUAAAGAAGGAACGACUUCUAAUUUUUAGGUCCGUAUGAUUUGAAAUAUGUGCACACAAACCACGAGAAAGCGUUCCUAGAAAUCUCGGCCCAAAAGAGGACGUUUAGUAUUCUAAAAGGGACUACAGAAUGAAAAACAAUAGUUUUGGCAGUUAAAGUUUGAGAUUUGACGGUGCCGUAGAUCUGUUUGGUCAUCAGGGGUUACGAGCCACACCCAUGUCUAGCUAGAAUAGUGUGUUAGGCUCAGGCUAGAAAAGAAACGGGGAACAAAGUGAUGAAAGAAUGAUCAUACCGAGGGAAUUCACUCAGAACUAACAAGAAUGAUAACAUGCUCCGACUGGAGCGGUUUAGGAACUGCUGGAAGGCUCUAGGGGAAUAAAGAUGGAAUGACUUCUAAUUUUUAGGUCCGUAUGAUUUGAAAUACUUGCACACAAACCGCGCGAAAGCGUUCCUGGAAAUCUCAGCCCAAAAAAGGACGUUUAGUAAUUCUAAAAGGGACUACAGGAUGAAAAACAAUAGUUUUGGCAGUUAAAGUAUGAGAUUCAACGGUGCCGUAGAUCCGUUUGGUCAUUAGGUGUUACGAGCCACACCCAUGUCUAGCUAGAAUAGUGUGCUAGGCUCAGGCUAGAGAAGAAACGGGGAACAAACUGAUGAAAGAAUGAUCAAACCGAGGGAAUUCACUCAGAACUAACAAUAAUGAUAACGUGCUCCGACUGGAGCGGUUUAGGAACUGCUGGAAGUCUCUAGGGGAAUAAAGAUGGAAUGACUUCUAAUUUUUACGUUCGUAUGAUUUGAAAAACUUGCCCAUAAACCGCGCGAAAGUGUUCCUGGAAAUCUCAGCCCAAAAAAGGACGUUUAGUAAUUUUAAAAGGGACUACACGAUGAAAAACAAUAGUUUUGGCAGGUAAAGUUUGAGAUUCGACAGUGCCGUAGAUCCGUUUGGUCAUCAGGUGUUACGAGCCACACCCAUGUCUAGCUAGAAUAGUAUGUUACGCUCAGGUUAGAGAAGAAACGGGGAACAAACUGAUGAAAGAUGAUCAUACCAAGGGAAUUCACUCAGAACUAACAAGAAUGAUAACGUGCUCCGACUGGAGCGGUUUAGGAACUGCUGGAAGGCUCUAGGGGAAUAAAGAUGGAAUGACUUCUAAUUUUUACGUCUGUAUGAUUUGAAAUACUUGCACACAAACAACGCAAAAGCAUUCCUGGAAAUCUCAUCCUAAAAAAGGACGUUUAGUAAUUCUAAAAGGGACUACAGGAUGAAAAAUAAUAGUUUGGGAAGUUAAAAUUUGAGAUUCGAUAGUGCCGUAGAUCCGUUUGGUCAUCAGGUGUUAGGAGCCACACCCAUGUCUAGCUAGAAUAGUGUGUUAGGCUCAGGCUAGAGAAGAAACAGGGAACAAACUGAUGAAA